UACGGAGGGGGCUAGCGUGGGUCGGAAUUACUGGGCGGAAAGCGCGCGUAGGCGGCUUUGCAAGUUAGAGGUGAAAGCCCGGGGCUCAACUCCGGAAUUGCCUUUAAAACUGCAUCGCUAGAAUUGUGGAGAGGUAAGUGGAAUUCCGAGUGUAGAGGUGAAAUUCGUAGAUAUUCGGAAGAACACCAGUGGCGAAGGCGGCUUACUGGACAAAUAUUGACGCUGAGGUGCGAAAGCGUGGGGAGCAAACAGG
rnacentral:rRNA from 1 species